AUUGAACGCUGGCGGCAGGCCUAACACAUGCAAGUCGAGCGGAUGAAGGGAGCUUGCUCCUGGAUUCAGCGGCGGACGGGUGAGUAAUGCCUAGGAAUCUGCCUGGUAGUGGGGGAUAACGUCCGGAAACGGGCGCUAAUACCGCAUACGUCCUGAGGGAGAAAGUGGGGGAUCUUCGGACCUCACGCUAUCAGAUGAGCCUAGGUCGGAUUAGCUAGUUGGUGGGGUAAAGGCCUACCAAGGCGACGAUCCGUAACUGGUCUGAGAGGGUGAUCAGUCACACUGGAACUGAGACACGGUCCAGACUCCUACGGGAGGCAGCAGUGGGGAAUAUUGGACAAUGGGCGAAAGCCUGACCCAGCCAUGCCGCGUGUGUGAAGAAGGUCUUCGGAUUGUAAAGCACUUUAAGUUGGGAGGAAGGGCAGUAAGUUAAUACCUUGCUGUUUUGACGUUACCAACUGAAUAAGCACCGGCUAACUUCGUG
rnacentral:rRNA from 1 species